AGACGGGUGAGUAACGCGUGGGAAUCUACCCAGCCCUACGGAAUAACGCAUGGAAACGUGUGCUAAUACCGUAUACGCCCUAUGGGGGAAAGAUUUAUCGNGNAUGGAUGAGCCCGCGUUGGAUUAGCUAGUUGGUGGGGUAAAGGCCUNCCNAGGNGACG
rnacentral:rRNA from 1 species